GGUUACUCUUCACAUCGAAGCAUGUUUUUUUAUCAAACUGUAGUACAUAUUGUACACAAAACUUGAACAAUCUCUUGUGGUAUAUUGUUCUUGUUGCAGGCCGACCAGUCCGCGAAGAAAAUUCUCGUGCCUGGCGGAAUCGAUAUCGCGAUGACACCGAUAAUAUCACCUCCAGUUUUGUGCUGACUGUCGGGUAUGGAUAUAUUUUGGUAUGAUUGCUCGCGAUCGCCAGGAGCUACUGCAAAACAAUAUCUGGUUGAACAAAAAUAUCAGUCUGUUGGUAGCUUUCUGUGAUGGGAAUGACGGCAAGUGUAAAAUGAAUUGGAGAAAGCUCAGCACGAAGGCAAACGUGAGCAGCUAUUGGAAGCGGAAUAACGGGAGCGAUACGUAUCCAAAGUCAGUAAAUUAGGAGGAAAUAUUGAGGCAAGUUGCUGGUACGCAAUAACACUGCCAAUGAUUUCUGAAUGGUUCUGCAAGCUGCUGGAAACACCCAACAAUCCACGUUUUGCCAUGUAACUUACUAGAAGUGCUAGCAACGCUUCUACAAUGUAAAGGAAAUCUUUUUAUGAUCAUCUCCGUUGUGCAUGUCAUAAACCAAUACCAUGCGCUAAUGAUGCGUGACUUCUUCUGAAUCAAUAUGCGAACGAAUUCGUAGAAACGAGGACUCAAUUCACCAGUCGGAAUAUUGGCAGAGAUCAUACUAUAACCGCAAAGUAUGUAACCGCUCAGACUAAGCUAACCGCGUCACCUAAAUUAGACCAAAAUCUAGAUGCCCAUCUGCCGAACAUUAUGAAAAUCCUCAUCAAUGACAUUCGCCUGUUAGACAAGAUGAAGUUAAAUAAUCACCAACCAAGUAUUUUUACCGACUGCACAAAUGUGCAUUCUACGCCAUAGUCAACGUGUGUCACAAUGCUACAGUCGUUGAAGUGUUGGACAGUUCCAGUCAGUAUAACUAUCAACGACUGAAGAAGCGUGUGCUGGAACUGCUGCGAAAAAUGAAAAAUUGUUCAAGUUUGACGAAUCCCUCGAAAUCAGCGUACACGUGUUCGCUACUUUGUGCUAUUCGCUAUUGAUGACAGCGGCAUCGACGUUGGUUAUUGGUGAGCGGUAGCAUAUCGACUACGCAGUAGAGACCGUCGAGAUG